AAUUCGAUUAGUUUGAUCAUGGCUCAGAGUGAACGCUGGCGGUAGGCCUAACACAUGCAAGUCGAACGGCAGCACAGGAGAGCUUGCUCUCUGGGUGGCGAGUGGCGGACGGGUGAGGAAUACAUCGGAAUCUACCUUUUCGUGGGGGAUAACGUAGGGAAACUUACGCUAAUACCGCAUACGACCUUAGGGUGAAAGCGGAGGACCUUCGGGCUUCGCGCGGAUAGAUGAGCCGAUGUCGGAUUAGCUUGUUGGCGGGGUAAAAGCCCACCAAGGCGACGAUCCGUAGCUGGUCUGAGAGGAUGAUCAGCCACACUGGAACUGAGACACGGUCCAGACUCCUACGGGAGGCAGCAGUGGGGAAUAUUGGACAAUGGGCGCAAGCCUGAUCCAGCCAUACCGCGUGAGUGAAGAAGGCCCUCGGGUUGUAAAGCUCUUUUGCUGGGAAAGAAAUCCUAUCGGUUAAUACCCGGCAGGGAUGACGGUACCCAAAGAAUAAGCACCGGCUAACUUCGUGCCAGCAGCCGCGGUAAUACGAAGGGUGCAAGCGUUACUCGGAAUUACUGGGCGUAAAGCGUGCGUAGGUGGUUUGUUAAGUCUGAUGUGAAAGCCCCGGGCUCAACCUGGGAAUUGCAUUGGAUACUGGCGAGCUAGAGUGCGGUAGAGGAUGGCGGAAUUCCCGGUGUAGCAGUGAAAUGCGUAGAGAUCGGGAGGAACAUCUGUGGCGAAAGGCGGCCAUCUGGACCAGCACUGACACUGAGGCACGAAAGCGUGGGGAGCAAACAGGAUUAGA
rnacentral:rRNA from 1 species